rnacentral:rRNA from 1 species
GUAGGGGGCGAGCGUUGUCCGGAAUUACUGGGUGUAAAGGGAGCGUAGACGGACUGGCAAGUCUGAUGUGAAAGGCGGGGGCUCAACCCCUGGACUGCAUUGGAAACUGUUAGUCUUGAGUGCCGGAGAGGUAAGCGGAAUUCCUAGUGUAGCGGUGAAAUGCGUAGAUAUUAGGAGGAACACCAGUGGCGAAGGCGGCUUUCUGGACUGACACUGACGCUGAGGCACGAAAGCGUGGGGAGCAAACAGGAUUAGAUACCCUGGUAGUCCACGCUGUAAACGAUGAAUACUAGGUGUUGGGGAGCAAAGCUGUUCGGUGCCGCAGCAAACGCAAUAAGUAGUCCACCUGGGGAGUACGUUCGCAAGAAUGAAACUCAAAGGAAUUGACGG